rnacentral:lncRNA from 1 species
CUAAUUAUUUGCAUUAUUAUUUUCAGGGAAAAUUUUGGAAACACAAUUUGGGACAUUUGGAUGACACCAAAUAAAUUGAAGACUCUCAAAUUUAGGCAUUUUAAAUUUUAAUUGUAUUGUAANUUAAUUGUUAAAACUUUUUAGACAAACUCGUUGUAUCUUGGGCCAAUUUUGAAAAAAUGUUGUUGGACCCAAUUUUAUUAGACACUUGACACAUGUCCUACCUAGGGUUGGGUGGACCCCACCAUAAUUUUACAGCCCUACACUUGGACCAGCCGUCAUUUUUAUUUUUUUUGGGGGGGCACAUUCUCUCGNCAGAAUUUUCUAUGGGAGAUAGCUGCUGCCACCACUUGGUCUCGGUUUUCUAUUUUAUNGCUAGCUGGAACGUUUUCUUUCUCUUUCUUUUGAGCUUAUCUUGAAUGCUAUGGUGAUUCAAUCUUGAGCUGCUGCCAUAUAUUUUAUCUUGAGCUGUCACGUCUAAUGGAGAUUCAAUCUUCAUAUUUGGGUUGCUUUUAUUUUUGUUUGCAGCAGCGUUUUUUUUUUUGGAAAGAGGAUGCUGAAUAGAUUAGGUAGGAGGCUAGGACGUUUGGCAGUAGUAGAUGUAGAGAUUUAUGUCUUUUAUUUUUUUUNAAAUGAAGAAGUUGAAUAGAUAGAUUAAAUGGGUAGGGAGCUGUACGGUGCAACUGCUGGAUUUCUUUUUUUUUUUAGCUUUUGUUUUAAAGGUUGCUUUGUAGGAAUGAAAACGGUGUCCAGCAGAAGGUGAUGGAAGAGAACGGUGCUUCAUAGGGUUUAAUUUCAUUCACUUUGGAAAAUGCAUUAUGAUUCAUUAGAGGAAUUUUCUUUUACACGUUUAAUUUAGUUAUUUAGUUGUUAC